GUUGAUAGGUCAAUUGGUUAGAGUGUGGUGAUGAUGAUGCCAAGGUUGCAGGUUCGAUCCCCGUAAGGGACA